GCCGCUGCCACAGGCUGGUGUGAAGAGUGUCUGGUGGUCAGAGGCAGUCACUGCGUGCGCCUCCUCACCCAAAGUGUCAGCCUCUGCGUGCAUGGUGGUCAGAGGCCACUUUUUGCAAUGUGAUACCCUUUCAUCAUCCUGUUGUUUCUUUACCACCAAAGAAAGCCUUCACUAGAUGUGUUCCUUGGACUUUCGACUUUCCAGCCUCAGAAACUGUAUGGCUGGCUGUUGCCCCAGUGAUCACCUUGCAACAGGGUCUAUAGCUGACCAGGGAGUCACAGCCAUAGGUUUUCUGCAGCUGGACACAAGGAGGAGUUCCUCUGCCCAAAGAUUUCAAGAAAAAAAUUCUGAAGGGCCCUUAUUUGUAAUUCUAACAGAGGUGCUCCAUGGACUAAAACCUGCCCCCAAAUUGCUCCUCUGGCUGAAUAACACAGUUGUUGGCCACCACCUGAA